UGUGUGUGUGUGUGACUUGACAAAUCAUGAUAAAAAUAUAUAAAUAGAUGAAGUUAAAGAUUCUAGCUCCCAUCAGUUGCAUGGGAUCUCCAAUGAGAUACAUGGCAAGGAGAAUUGACUGACGUUAUUUUUUUCUUGCAUGAGAAUAUAAAAAAAUACAACGAAAAAAUGAUAUAUGUAUUUCAUUUAUGACACAUCUGAUUUCACGACUGAAAUC
rnacentral:lncRNA from 1 species